GAUGAAGAACGUAGUGAAAUGCGAUAAGUAAUGUGAAUUGCAGAAUUCAGUGAAUCAUCGAAUCUUUGAACGCACCUUGCGCCCUUUGGCUAUUCCGAAGGGCAUGCCUGUUUGAGUAUCGUGAACACCUCAACUCUCAUGGUUUGCCAUGAUGAGCUUGGACUUUGGGGGUUUUGCUGGCCUUUGGUCGGCUCCUCUCAAACGGAUCAGCUUUCCAGUGUUUGGUGGCGUCACGGGUGUGAUAACUAUCUACGCCUGUGGUUUUCUGCCAGAUAACCUUCAGCGAUGGAGGUUCGCUGGGGCUCAUAAAUGUCUCUCUUCAGUGGAGACAGCUUUUUGGACGUUUGAUCUCAAAUCAGGUAGGACUACCCGCUGAACUUAAGCAUAUCAAUAAGCGGAGGA
rnacentral:misc_RNA from 1 species